rnacentral:ncRNA from 1 species
CUUAUCAAGAGCGGCGGAGGAAACAGGUCCUGUGAAGCCCGGCAACCUGACUAUAUCGGUCAAGGUGCUAAUUCCUGCGGUAUUUUCCGGAAGAUGAGG